AGAUAAUGAUACUCUAGGGAAUGACACGUGGUCUGAAAUGGGAAAACACUCCGCCCGAGGAUUGAUGUCUUUGAGGAAAAUGACGCUAAAGGAACCAACUGAGAUCAUCCAUUAUCACCAACCAUCGAUAGCGAUACGUUCCGUGUCACCUUAUCUGGUCUAAAAACAUUUAGUAACCUAGUA